UUUCGCUAUUUCAAAUAGAAAAAGUUCAGACUUCAUCGUUUUAAAUGCAAGAAUUUUAUGGUCCUCUGGCGGGGGCUCACCGGCCCCGGGGAGGGGACCAGCGGGGCCAUUACUAGCCGCGCCCCGCCAAAGCAACUAAGGGUACGUUCACAUAGGGUUGGGAGGUCUGGGGGCCCGAAGGCACCCCAAGCUCUCUUUAAUGAUCCUUCCGCAGGUUCACCUACGGAAA
rnacentral:misc_RNA from 1 species